rnacentral:rRNA from 1 species
GCUUACAGCCAUAUCAGCCUGGGUACGCCCGAUCUCGUCUGAUCUCGGAAGCUAAGCAGGGUCGGGCCUGGUUAGUACUUUGAUGGGAGACUGCCUGGGAAUACCAGGUGCUGUAAGCA